rnacentral:rRNA from 1 species
CAAGUCGAACGAACGGAGGAAGAGCUUGCUCUUCCAAAGUUAGUGGCGGACGGGUGAGUAACACGUGGGCAACCUGCCUGUAAGUUGGGGAUAACUCCGGGAAACCGGGGCUAAUACCGAAUGAUAAAGUGUGGCGCAUGCCACGCUUUUGAAAGAUGGUUUCGGCUAUCGCUUACAGAUGGGCCCGCGGUGCAUUAGCUAGUUGGUAGGGUAAUGGCCUACCAAGGCAACGAUGCAUAGCCGACCUGAGAGGG